rnacentral:rRNA from 1 species
AUGUGUAUACCAAAAAGUAAAGGAGGUAUGGGUUUCCGAGACCUUCAUGCUUUUAACUUGGCCUUGCUUGCAAAACAGAGUUGGAGAUUGUUAACCCAUCCGGAUACUCUGUGUGCAAAGGUUCUUCAUGCAAAAUACUAUCCAGACGGUAAUUUGCUUAAAGCAGGAGUGAAGAAGGGGUCUUCAUUCACAUGGCAAAGUAUUGUCUCGGGUCUCCAAACUUUUAAAAGAGGACACAUUUGGAGAGUUGGCACUGGCGUGCAAAUAGAUAUCUGGAAUGAUCAUUGGGUGCAGUGUAGUCCAACAAGGAAAGUCCUCACAAGUAGAGGUAAUAGUUUGGUUGAUAAAGUAAACGACCUCAUUGAUCCGGUUAUAGGGACAUGGGACGAGAUGCUAAUUAGAUGUAUAUUCCUUGAUAUUGAUGCAGAGAGAAUUCUAAAGAUACCUCUAUCUGAACACUUGACAGAAGACUUUGUGGCAUGGAGUGCAACAUAAUCCUUUAGUUUUUCUGUCAGGUCAGCAUAUUACAUUGAGUGGGAGCAUCAGUUCGGACCUCGAUUCAGAAAGGACUCCCCAGAAUCUUCAAUGACAAAUCCGGUAUGGGAGAUAUUGUGGAAGUUGCACAUACCGAGCAAAAUUAAGAUUUUCGCUUGGCGAGCCUUGCAUGGAAUCAUUCCAGGAGUCUGUAUUUUGAGUAACAGACACAUAAAGGUAUCGCCACAAUGCCCAAUCUGUAAAGUCGGUCCGGAGGAUAUAAAGCAUCUGAUUUUUACCUGUAAACGAGCAAAGGAAGUGUGGAAAUCUUUGGGGCUAGAUGAGGUAAUUUCCAAUGCUUUG